UAGGGGUUGUGAUGUAGCUAGGUGGUUGUAUUAGGGGUUGUAAUGUAGCUAGGUGGUUGUAUUAGGGGUUGUAAUGUAGCUAUGUGGUUGUAUUAGGGGUUGUGGUGGUGUAGCUAGGUGGUUAUAUUAGGGGUUGUGGUGUAGCUAGGUGGUUGUAUUAGGGGUUGUGGUGUAGCUAGGUUGUUAUAUUAGGGGUUGUGAUGUAGCUAGGUGGUUGUAUUAGGGGUUGUGAUGUAGCUAGGUGGUUGUAUUAGGGGUUGUGAUAUAGCUAGGUGGUUGUAUUAGGGGUUGUGAUGUAGCUAGGUGGUUGUAUUAGGGGUUGUGGUGUAGCUAGGUGGUUGUAUUAGGGGUUGUGGUAUAGCUAGGUGUUUGUAUUAGGGGUUGUGAUGUAGCUAGCUGGUUGUAUUAGGGGUUGUGAUGUAGCUAGGUGGUUGUAUUAGGGGUUGUGAUGUAGCUAGGUGGUUGUAUUAGGGGUAGUGAUGUAGCUAGGUGGUUGUAUUAGGGGCUGGUAGUGAUGUAGCUAGGUGGUUGUAUUAGGGGCUGGUAGUGAUGUAGCUAGGUGGUUGUAUUAGGGGUUGUGGUGUAGCUAGGUGGUUGUAUUAGUGGUUGUGAUGUAGCUAGGUGGUUGUAUUAGGGGUAGUGAUGUAGCUAGGUGGUUGUAUUAGGGGUAGUGAUGUAGCUAGGUGGUUGUAUUAGGGGUUGUGAUGUAGCUAGGUGGUUGUAUUAGGGGUUGUGAUGUAGCUAGGUGGUUAUAUUAGGGGUUGUGGUGAUGUAGCUAGGUGGUUGUAUUAAGGGUUGUGGUGUAGCUAGGUGGUUGUAUUAGGGGUUGUGAUGUAGCUAGGUGGUUAUAUUAGGGGUUGUGAUGUAGCUAGGUGGUUGUAUUAGGGGUUGUGGUGUAGCUAGGUGGUUGUAUUAGGGGUUGUGGUGUAGCUAGGUGGUUGUAUUAGGGGCUGGUAGUGAUGUAGCUAGGUGGUUGUAUUAGGGGUUGUGAUGUAGCUAGGUGGUUGUAUUAGGGGUUGUGGUGUAGCUAGGUGGUUGUAUUAGGGGUUGUGAUGUAGCUAGGUGGUUGUAUUAGGGGUUGUGAUGUAGCUAGGUGGUUGUAUUAGGGGUUGUGGUGUAGCUAGGUGGUUAUAUUAGGGGCAGGUCGUGUGUGUACAUGCGAGCAUUAUCAGUCCGGCCGUGGUGGAGGAUACGGGGGCCGGUUCUGGUGGGCCGGUCUGGAUCAAAGUCCAGGGCCAUUCCGCCCCUGCUCUGAGACACUUUGUGGAUACGGGCCCUGAAGAGAUAAGCUUUGUGUUAGCAUUAAGCACAAUAGUGAUGGAUCCACCUAUUCAUCCUAUGUUCUUAGGGAAGGCAGCCAUAUUGUAGACCUAUCAGAGUUUUGAAUUAAAAG
rnacentral:lncRNA from 1 species